rnacentral:rRNA from 1 species
UACGGGGGGAGCAAGCGUUGUUCGGAUUUACUGGGCGUAAAGGGCGCGUAGGCGGCGCAACAAGUCACUUGUGAAAUCUCCGGGCUUAACCCGGAGCGGUCAAGUGAUACUGUCGUGCUAGAGUGCGGAAGGGGCUACUGGAAUUCUCGGUGUAGCGGUGAAAUGCGUAGAUAUCGAGAGGAACACCUGCGGCGAAGGCGGAUCUCUGGGCCAUUACUGACGCUGAGGAGCGAAAGCGUGGGGAGCGAACAGG